UACGUAGGGUGCAAGGCGUUAAUCGGAAUUACUGGGCGUAAAGCGUGCGCAGGCGGUGAUGUAAGACAGAUGUGAAAUCCCCGGGCUCAACCUGGGAACUGCAUUUGUGACUGCAUCGCUGGAGUACGGCAGAGGGGGAUGGAAUUCCGCGUGUAGCAGUGAAAUGCGUAGAUAUGCGGAGGAACACCGAUGGCGAAGGCAAUCCCCUGGGCCUGUACUGACGCUCAUGCACGAAAGCGUGGGGAGCAAACAGG
rnacentral:rRNA from 1 species